rnacentral:misc_RNA from 1 species
AGCAGCCGCGGUAAUUCCAGCUCCAAUAGCGUAUAUUAAAGUUGUUGCAGUUAAAAGCUCGUAGUUGAAUUUCGGGGUCAGUAGGUUGGUCGUGCCACCGGUACGUACUGGUCUCACCGAUUCCUCCUUCCUGAAGAACCGUAAUGCCAUUAAUUUGGUGUUGCGGGGAAACAGGACUGUUACUUUGAAAAAUUAGAGUGUUUAAAGCAGGCUAACGCUUGAAUACAUUAGCAUGGAAUAAUGAAAUAGGACGAUCGAUCCUAUUUUGUUGGUUUCUAGGAUUGACGUAAUGAUUAAUAGGGAUAGUUGGGGGCAUUAGUAUUCAAUUGUCAGAGGUGAAAUUCUUGGAUUUAUUGAAGACUAACUACUGCGAAAGCAUUUGCCAAGGAUGUUUUCAUUAAUCAAGAACGAAAGUUAGGGAUCGAAGACGAUCAGAUACCGUCGUAGUCUUAACCAUAAACUAUGCCGACUAGGGAUCGGAUGAUGUU